GAUGAAGAACGCAGCGAAAUGCGAUAAGUAGUGUGAAUUGCAGAAUUCAGUGAAUCAUCGAAUCUUUGAACGCACAUUGCGCCUCCUGGCAUUCCGGGAGGCAUGCCUGUUCGAGCGUCAUCAAACCCCAUCGUGCAAAUGAAUUAUUUUUUUUGCGCGGAAGUGACGAUUGAGCGAGAAUAACAAAUCCUCUCGCACCUCGUCGAAAUGAUUGCGGGCGGAAUUUGGGAUCGGGUUCCUCGGCGUAGUGUAUCAAUGCAUAUUUAUGCAACUUGCCGCGGAGUUGAGCCUGACCCACGCGUUCUCGCCGUACAAACACCUCAUUACUUUACAAGAUUUUGACCUCGGAUCAGGUAGGGAUACCCGCUGAACUUAAGCAUAUCAAUAAGCGGAGGA
rnacentral:misc_RNA from 1 species